rnacentral:rRNA from 1 species
GAUGAACGCUGGCGGCGUGCCUAAUACAUGCAAGUCGAGCGAACAGAUGAGGAGCUUGCUCCUCUGACGUUAGCGGCGGACGGGUGAGUAACACGUGGAUAACCUACCUAUAAGACUGGGAUAACUUCGGGAAACCGGAGCUAAUACCGGAUAAUAUAUUGAACCGCAUGGUUCAAUAGUGAAAGACGGUUUUGCUGUCACUUAUAGAUGGAUCCGCGCCGCAUGAGCUAGUUGGUAAGGUAACGGCUUACCAAGGCAACGAUGCGUAGCCGACCUGAGAGGGUGAGCGGCCACACUGGAACUGAGACACGGUCAAGACUCCUACGGGAGGCAGCAGUAGGGAAUCUUCCGCGAUGGGCGAAAGCCUGACGGAGCAACGCCGCGUGAGUGAUGAAGGUCUUCGGAUCGUAAAACGCUGUUAUUAGGGAAGAACAAAUGUGUAAGUAACUAUGCACGUCUUGACGGUACCUAAUCAGAAAGCCACGGCUAACUACGUG